AUGGAGCGCAAAAGGCCACCGGAAAUGGGCUAUAUAAGCCCACCACCCUCCUCGCCUCUGCCAAGUGCUCAACCUCCCACGCUCUCCUCCUCCUCCAGCAGAGAAACCCAGAGCCAGAGCAGAGCCAAACCCCCAAGAAACCAGUGCCCCGCCACGUGCUCUCCCGAAGUAGCGUCGCGCAUGUCCGCCAUGGCCGCCACCGGAGCAGCGCUGCGGCUUCGCCUCCUGUUCCGGAUGCUAAGGGUGGGGGAGCUCAUCGCCGUCGCGGCGCUCUUGUCGUGGUCCUCCUCCCGCGCGCCGUCCGUGGCCGCCGCCGCGAUGCGCGUCGCGGGCUCGCUCCUCUUCAGCCCCCGCUUCGUGUUCGUCCUCGGCAACGCCAUCGUGCUCCUCCUCCUCGCGCUCUCCAGGCGCGAGCGCGUGGAGCCGUCCCCGGCCUCCUCCGCCGCGGCCUCCUCUGCCGGCGCCGGUGUGGAGCAGGGCCAGACCCCUGCCGCCAGCUUCGCUUCGUUCGCCGUACAAACGACGCCGACGCCGACGCCGAUGCCGACGCAGGCAAGUGAAGCGCCCGUGGUGGUGAUGCCGGCCAUGGCGAUGGCGAUGGCGACGGUACCGGAGGAGGAGGAGGAGGUGGUGAAGCCGGUGGUGUCGGUGACGACGCGCGCCGCGGCUGCCGUGAGCAAGGCCCGCGCGCCGAGGCGGACCCGGUCGGAGAAGAUGGGCCGGCGCGGCGUGCUGUCCAGGCGGUCGGCGUCGCCGGAGCCGCUGCCGCUGAUGCGGCGCUCGGAGUCUGACAACGGGCGCAGGCGGCGGUCGUCGGUGACGGCGCGGGACGUGGCGGAGGUGGGCGUGGCGCGCGGGUGGGCCGGCACGGACGACGCGGAGGAGUUCCGGCGCACCGUGGAGGCGUUCAUCGCGAAGCAGACGCGGUUCCGGCGCGAGGAGGAGUCCAUGGCCGGCACGCUUGUCCUGGUCGAAUAA
rnacentral:rRNA from 1 species